CCGCCGCGCCAAGCGACAGGUUCCCCGCAAGGGGAUUCAAAGGGAACGCGGUUCAAGACCGCGGCUGCCCCUGCAACUGUGAGCGGAGAGCCAUCGGCCUUCAUGCCAUUGGGGUUUCAAAAGCCCCGAGAAGGCGGCCGAACCGGCAUCGACCCGCAAGCCAGGAGACCUGCCUGACGCCGUCGUUCUUC
rnacentral:ncRNA from 1 species